rnacentral:rRNA from 1 species
UACAGAGGUCCCGAGCGUUGUUCGGAUUUACUGGGCGUAAAGGGUGCGUAGGCGGUGGGGUAAGUUUGAGGUGAAAGCUCCGGGCUCAACCCGGAAACUGCCUUGAAAACUAUCCGGCUAGAGGGUUGGAGGGGAGACUGGAAUUCUCGGUGUAGCAGUGAAAUGCGUAGAUCUCGAGAGGAACACCAGUGGCGAAGGCGGGUCUCUGGACAACACCUGACGCUGAGGCAACGAAAGCCAGGGGAGCAAACGGG